rnacentral:rRNA from 1 species
GAUGAACGCUGGCGGCGUGCCUAAUACAUGCAAGUCGAGCGAACAGACGAGGAGCUUGCUCCUCUGACGUUAGCGGCGGACGGGUGAGUCACACGUGGAUAACCUACCUUUAAGACUGGGAUAACUUCGGGAAACCGGAGCUAAUACCGGAUAAUAUAUUGAACCGCAUGGUUCAAUAGUGAAAGACGGUUUUGCUGUCACUUAUAGAUGGAUCCGCGCCGCAUUAGCUAGUUGGUAAGGUAACGGCUUACCAAGGCAACGAUGCGUAGCCGACCUGAGAGGGUGAUCGGCCACACUGGAACUGAGACACGGUCCAGACUCCUACGGGAGGCAGCAGUAGGGAAUCUUCCGCAAUGGGCGAAAGCUUGACGGAGCAACGCCGCGUGAGUGAUGAAGGUCUUCGGAUCGUAAAACUCUGUUAUUAGGGAAGAACAAAUGUGUAAGUAACUAUGCACGUCUUGACGGUACCUAAUCAGAAAGCCACGGCUAACUACGUG